AUCUGUAAAUUUGUUUCUUAUUUCAUUUGGUUCGGGUAUAAAUAAGAACUAUCUAUUUUAGGGAUAUAUAUAAGUUCAGGUAUAAACCUGAAACAAAUCAAUUUUGCGUUUGAAUAAAAAUUAAGUUGUUUAUGAAAUAAGAAAAAUAACGUUUGCAUAGAUAAGAUAGAAUAAGAAUAAUAGUGGAUAGUUAUAAAUAAAAAAAAAUAAUAUUGCCCUUUAUAUUAUAUUUGAAUUUAAAANAAAAAAAAAAAAAAAAGAGGAGAAAAAAAAAGAGGGAGAGAAAAGGGAAUAAGGAUAUCCGACUCGAAUCUGUAAAAUCUAAAAAAAUGACCUAUCUUGCAAAAGCUGAAAAUUAAUAAUUUUUUUAUGAAAAUUGGCCACUAACUUCAAAACACCUUUUUCUUUCCCAAAAAUUUAAACAAAAAAUUCCAAAAAAUUCUAGAACAAGAUGAGUUUGAAUAUCUUUUUAUCUUCAAUUGAAUAUCUUCUAAAAUUAAGGCUAACUUACAAAAAAAGCUCUUUGUCCAUUUUAGUCGUCGUUUCAAGUUAUCAGCAUCAGCAUAAAAAAUUACAUUAAUUAUCAUUCUAUAUUUCAAAAUCGAUUUUGAAAUAUAGUUAGUGAAUUUGGUUGCGAAGCUUCGCCAAAGUACAUUGGUAUAUCUCAUAAUUUUAUAUCUCUAUAUUUAUCUAAUUUGUAACUUAAAAACUAGAUUGAAAAAUUAGAUAAAAGAGAUUCUUAUUUUGUUAAUACUAUUAUGAUAGUUUUUGAGCAACUUUAUUCAAUUUAUAUGAUUACAAUUCAUUAGAUGUAAUUAAUUCUAUCUGUAAAUUUGUUUCUUAUUUCAUUUGGUUCGGGUAUAAGUAAGAACUAUCUAUUUUAGGGAUAUAUAUAAGUUCAGGUAUAAACCUGAAACAAAUCAAUUUUGCGUUUGAAUAAAAAUUAAGUUGUUUAUGAAAUAAGAAAAAUAACGUUUGCAUAGAUAAGAUAGAAUAAGAAUAAUAGUGGAUAGUUAUAAAUAAAAAAAAAUAAUAUUGCCCUUUAUAUUAUAUUUGAAUUUAAAAUUUAAAAUUUUAUAUUUAAAUUAAAUUUAAAUAUAUAAUUUUAAAUUUUAAAAUUUUAAAUUUUAAAUCUCAAAUUCAAAAAUUCAAAGUUAUAAAUUUUAAAUUUUAAAAAUUUAAAAUAUCUAUUAAAAUUUAAAAUUUAAAAUAUAAAAUAAUAAAAUUUUAAUUUGAAGAUUACAAAUUAUAAAUUUUUAAAAUUAAAUUUUUAAAAAUUAAAUAGGGUUG
rnacentral:lncRNA from 1 species